rnacentral:rRNA from 1 species
UACGUAGGGCGCAAGCGUUGUCCGGAAUUAUUGGGCGUAAAGAGCUCGUAGGCGGUCUGUCGCGUCUGUUGUGAAAACUCGAGGCUCAACCUCGGGCUUGCAGUGGAUACGGGCAGACUAGAGUGCGGUAGGGGAGGCUGGAAUUCCUGGUGUAGCGGUGGAAUGCGCAGAUAUCAGGAGGAGCACCGAUGGCGAAGGCAGGUCUCUGGGCCGCAACUGACGCUGAGGAGCGAAAGCAUGGGGAGCGAACAGG